GCGCCUGUAGCCCAAUGGAUAGAGCGUCUGACUACGGAUCAGAAGGUUGGGGGUUCGAGUCCCUCCAGGCGCG
rnacentral:tRNA from 1 species